AAGGAACAUUCCCGGGAAAAUCUAGUGUAAGAGAAUUGCUGGCAGAAAGAAUAACUGCUGGGGUCCAGGCAUGGCAGAGCUUGAUAUUUAUAAAAUAAACCAAAUUAUGAACAACUUAAUGGAAUUAUUUUAAUAUUAACAACUAAUGGUUAUGCCUGUAUUUCUAAUUAGCAUGCUUUUUAUCUCUCACUGUCUGUCAUUAAAUCUACCUGUUCACUCAAACCAAGACCAAGUCUCAUCUAUAAAGUCUUCACAGCCAUGUCUUCCAUGGCAGGCUAUCUCUCAAGUUCUCAGAGUGCAUCUAACAGCCCAUUGUGUACAAUGUAAACAGUUUCUGUGGUAUUGGUAUCUGAUACUUGUACUAUUUGGCAUUUCAAAAGAAUUUUAUAUAUCUUGUUUUUUAAGUGCAAAAGUAUGGUCAUUAAACAUACCCACAUUAUUUUGAUACUAUUGGCAUAAUUUUGGUGGUGUUUAUUGUUAUUGGUGAAUAUUCUUGGUGUUUUACUAUUUCUUUUUUUUUUUUUGGCUGUGCCUAUGGCAUGCAGAAGAUCCUGGGCAAGGGAUCAAACAUGUGCCACAGCAGUGACACCACCAAAUCCUUAACUUUUAGACUACCAUGGAAAUCCUAUUUAGCAUUUUAAAUAAUGUGGAUAUCUUUGCUUUAUUACUAGAUUAUAAAUUCUUUAAUAAAAAUAAUUCUUUAAAAGAUUUCAAACAUUCAAUGGCUGAACAUUAGAGUGUGAUGGAACAUAAAAGCCGUCUUUGUGAACCUCGUUUUCCGGAACAGAAAAAGCUGAAAAUUAAAUACGGCAUACGGGGUUGUAUAAAAUUUAAGAAGACAUGCAGUGAUUGAGAGUAGAGUUCAUAUUUGAGUUUGAAGCUUUUUAUCAAUAAAAUAAUAGGUCAUAUGGUAUUCUGCUAAUUCAGUCAGCAACUGUGGUCAGAAAAUGCCAAAAUAAAAUGAUACCUUAAGCUGUCCUACGAAAAUAGUCCAUAUCAGCAUGAUUACCAGUUAUGGUGACUACAUGGGGAAAAAGAGAGGCUGAUGCUCAGAUCCCAAGACUGUCUGUGAAUCCCUGACCCACAUCUUGCAGCAUCUUCAGCUACUUCUAAAAUGACCCUUAGGACAUAUGCGCACAGAGCAGAUCAGACAAUUUCUCUUAAUUUCUGACCAAGUUUUGAUACCACCUCCAGUGUGGUUUCCAGGUAAACUUUACCGGACCACCUUUCCCAUCGUGGCGCAGCGGUUAACGAAUCCGAUGGGGAACCAUGGGGUUGCGGGUUCGAUCCCUGGCCUUGCUCAGUGGGUUAAGGAUCCAGUGUUGCCGUGGGCUGUGGUGUAGGUUGCAGACGCGGCUCGGAUCCUGCAUUGCUGUGGCUGUGGCGUAGGCCGGUGGCUACAGCUCUGACUGGACCCCUAGCCUGGGAACCUCCAUAUGCCGUGGGAUUGGUCCUAGAAAAGGCAAAAAGACAAAAG
rnacentral:lncRNA from 1 species